rnacentral:rRNA from 1 species
CCUACGGGGUGCAGCAGUGAGGAAUAUUGGUCAAUGGGCGCAAGCCUGAACCAGCCAAGUCGCGUGAGGGAUGACGGUCCUAGGGAUUGUAAACCUCUUUUGUCGGGGCGAAAGGCCCGCCACGUGUGGCGGAAAGGAGAGUACCCGAAGAAAAAGCAGCGGCGAACACCGUGCCAGCAGCCGCGGUAAUACGGAGGAGUCGAGAGUUAUGCGGAUUUAUUGGGUUUAGAGGGUGCUGAGGCGGUCGGAUAUGUUAGAGGGGAAAUCCCGAGGCUCAACUUCGGAAUUGCCUCUGAUACUGUUUGGCUAGAGCGUAGUUGCGGUAGGCGGAAUGUAUGGUGUAGCGGUGAAAUGCUUAGAGAUCAUACAGAACACCGAUUGCGAAGGCAGCUUACCAAGCUACUUCUGACGUUGAGGCACGAAAGCGUGGGGAGCAAACAGGAUUAGAUACCCUUGUAGUC